rnacentral:lncRNA from 1 species
UGCAACUGGACAGCACUGACCCAGAGACAGGGGUUAAAAUGGACCUUCCUUCCUAUCAAGCCAUGGACUAAUGAUUAAGGAGUGGGACCAUUUAUCAGACCUGUCUAGUCUAUGAAUUCCACCCCAAGGGCCACAGUUGUGCACGGGCAUUGAGCCAAUCCCUGGACUUCUGCUGGCACGUGGGAGGAAGGACUCUCUCUUUCCAUGAGGAUUGCUGAGAGGAAGCCUAGGGCUGCCAGCAAUCAUCCUGCCACCGCACGGGAGGUGCACACCUGAAUGAAGGUAACAGCCGCAGAGAGCAAAGCCCACAUGGAGGAGCCAGGACAGGAUGGGGACAACAAGGCUUGAGCCCCUAGAUCCGGGCAUGCCUGGCCUUUUAGGUCUCCAUGUAUCCUUUAUGAACUUCAUGAAAAUCUUGACUUGAUUCAAAUGCGUUUCUUGGAGGAAGAAUGCUUUCAGUGGCUGCAGUGUGCCAGGGUAGACUGAAGUCAGUUUCAAUUCAUUACAAACACAGUGCCAGCUCUGAGGAUGCCUCAGCUCAGAAGAGGUACGUAUUGAUAGCCAACACCCAGGGGGAAUGUGAUGCUGACCAGUGCUGUGGGUGCCAGCGCACUCGUCUGCAUCAAACCAUCACCUCGCAGUCACACCUACAGUUCUUUGCACUCAAUGCAAAGCUAUGGCCCAGGAUUGGGGGAGCAGCGUGUGCUAAGACACAGGUUAGGAGCCAUAUUCCCCAAGCAGUGGUGGCUACAUUCAUUUCUGGGAAAGCUCAGCAAAGAAAUGUGACCCCAGGGACACCUAAAUUUGGACUUUUUCUGUAUGAACACUU